AUUGAACGCUGGCGGCAGGCCUAACACAUGCAAGUCGAACGAGUGGCGGACGGGUGAGUAAUGUCUGGGAAACUGCCUGAUGGAGGGGGAUAACUACUGGAAACGGUAGCUAAUACCGCAUACCAUCGGAUGUGCCCAGAUGGGAUUAGCUUGUAGGUGGGGUAGAGGCUCACCUAGGCGACGAUCCCUAGCUGGUCUGAGAGGAUGGCCAGCCACAGUGGAACGGAGACACGGUACAGACUCCUACGGGAGGUAGCAGUGGGGAAUAUGGCACAAUGGGCGCAAGCCUGAUGCCGCCAUGCCGCGUGAAUGAAGAAGGCCUUCGGGUUGUAAAGUACUUUCGGUAGCGAGGCGUUAACUACAGAAGAAGCACCGGCUAACUCCGUGCCAGCAGCCGCGGUAAUUC
rnacentral:rRNA from 1 species